CAGCCUCCCUAGUAGCUGGGAUUACAGGCAUGUGCCACCAUGCCUGGCUAAUUUUGUGUUUUUAGUGGAGAAGGGGUUUCUCCAUGUUGGUCAGGCUGGUCUCAAACUCCCGAACUCAGGUGAUCCACCCACCUCGGCCUCCCAAAGUGCUGGUAUUACAGGCGUGAGCCACUGCGCCCGGCCAAUACAUCUUUGUUUUUUCAAGCUAAAGUACAGACUUUUUUUUGGAUUUCACCAGUUUUGUAACAAUGUAUCUUGGAGAUUUUACGGUGUCAGUUCAGAACAAGCUUCUUCUUUUUUUUUUUUUUUUGGGAGACAGAGUCUUGUUCCAUCACUCAGGCUGGAGUGCAGUGGCUUGAUCUCAGCUCACUGCAACCUCUACCACCUGGGUUCAUCUCAUGUCUCAGCCUCCUGAGUAGCUGGGAUUACAUGUGCCUGCUACCACGCUUGGCUAAUCUUUGUAUUUUUAGUAGAGAGAGGGUUUCACCAUGUUGACCAGGCUGGUUUCUAACUUCUGAUCUCAGGUGAUCCGCCCGCCUUGACCUCCCAAAGUUGGGAUUAUAGGCGUGAACCACCACACCCGGCCCCCUCAUUCUUUUAUACACCUGCUUGGUAUUUCAUUGUAUGGACAUGCCAUAAUCUAUUUGACCAUUACCCUGAUGAUGGACAUCUAAGUUGUUCCCAGUAUUUUUGCUGUUAUGAAUAAUACUGUAAUGUAUGAUGGCAUUUCAUAUAGCAUAGGGAGCUACUUUAAACCAUUUUGAUCAUUACUCCUUCUGGCAUUUAUCUUCCAGAUGUUAAAUAUUUUACUAAAUACUAUGCUUUUACUGCUGUUUCUUCUUUUCCUUAACGUUUUUUAUUUAGAAAAAUUUCAUGCUUACAGAAAAGUUGAAGUAAUAUUUUGAUCCCUUUGGAAAGAAAUAUUUUGUUUUAUCUACUUUUCUCUCUUUCUGUUUUUUUGUAAUAAAUUUUGUUUCCCAGGGGUUGGUGCCAUCUACAUCCGUCGCCGGCCCCGUGUGCGUGUGGAGGCCCUGCAGAGUGGAGGGGGGCAGGAGCGGGGUAUGCGGUCUGGGACAGUGCCCACACCCUUAGUGGUGGGGCUGGGGGCUGCGUGUGAGGUGGCACAGCAAGAGAUGGAGGUAUGGGGAGAGCAGUUCCCUCCCACAACUUCUUCCCCUGUGCUGGGUCUCCUAUUUAGAGGCUUCUCAGCAUGACUGAGGCAGAUCUCUGCAGGGAGAGAGGGCUUAAGAAAACUCUUCCUUGUCCUGGUGCUGCUGGCACCUUGUUCUGAGGGAGACAUUAUGGGCUCCAAAACCCAUGGCCUUUUAGUAGUUAUCAGCUCAUUUAUUUCUGGAUAAGUAAAUGAACCCUGUGUCCAGUUAUCAAGCGCCUUUUGCAUACCAGGCACUAUGCUCAGUACUGGAGAUACAGUGGUCCCCAUGAGUACAUAGGAUGAUAGGUGGGGCUGAUACAUAGUCACUUCCAGUUAUAGGAGAAGGGCUUCUCAAACUGUCUUUCUGAGCUGGUUAAUGGUUACUGCCUAAUCCUUCCUUGCCUGCUCCUUAGUAUGACCACAAGCGAAUCUCAAAGUUGUCAGAGCGGCUGAUACAGAAUAUAAUGAAGAGCCUUCCAGAUGUGGUGAUGAAUGGGGACCCUAAGCACCAUUAUCCCGGUAUGGACUUGCUCUUUCUAUCCUCAUUCUGGUAGAGGCUGAGACUCUGAGACCUCUCUCACAGUAUUUCUUUCCUCCAGGCUGUAUCAACCUCUCCUUUGCAUAUGUGGAAGGGGAAAGUCUGCUGAUGGCACUGAAGGACGUUGCCUUAUCCUCAGGGAGUGCCUGCACCUCUGCAUCCCUGGAGCCCUCUUAUGUGCUUAGAGCAAUUGGCACUGAUGAGGAUUUAGCGCACUCUUCUAUCAGGUUUGGAAUUGGCCGCUUCACUACAGAGGAGGAAGUGGACUACACAGUGGAGAAAUGCAUUCAGCAUGUGAAGCGUCUUCGAGAAAUGAGCCCUCUCUGGGAGAUGGUUCAGGAUGGCAUUGACCUCAAGAGCAUCAAGUGGACCCAACACUAGAAGAAUAGGGCCCUGACUUUGUGCUGGUCUGGCCCCUCCUGCCUCACCAACCCGUGCACAACCAGACACCUUGUUACACCUAGUGGAUGCUCUAGAUUGGUAUAGACCAGUUGACUUCAGCAUCAGUCCACCUCUAUGACAGAAACACAAGAAAACUGUCUUUCCCUAGCUUCAGUUCCUUGGGUGUGGAGCACUCCCCAUUUCUUCUCGGGUCUUAAAGUGUGUGGACAUCUUCAUCCCGAAGCCAUAGAGACAUUUGCUGUCAUAUUGCUGCUGGGCACAUCUGUGCUCUUGGUGAGGAGAGCAAGAGGAACCAGAAGAAGUCUCUUUGGUCAGGGACCAUGAUGCUCUACAUGGACAUUUGAGUCUUCGUCUUCUGCUGCUGCUCGGCUGGACCAGCUUCUUUAACAGCAAGCAUAAUCCACUUCAAUUUAAUAUUUUCUGUAGCUCCAAAGGCUAUCUCUUCAUAUUGACUGCAGACAGACUGAAUGGACAGUUUCUUAGAGGGCUUGUCUCCUUUCUACCCUUGUCCUCUUUCCUUUCCUUUGACCUAAUGGAGCUAGAAAUAUGUCUGUGACUCCACCAGUUAUUCUAAUAAUUUGUUUUCUUGAAAAUUGUUAAUUUCAAGACUGGAGAAAUAAACUCACCUUCUAUUUAC
rnacentral:sRNA from 1 species